rnacentral:lncRNA from 1 species
UCACCUCUAUGCCUAAUAUUUGCACUUGCCAACAUAAACAAAUAGCUCUAGGUGGAAUUACUGUAUCAAAGAGCAUGCAAAAUAGUGGGGACUUCUAUACAAAUCAACCACGUGGCUGAGAUUUGGAAUCUGAUCUCCUGGAAAUAUUGAGAGUUUGAGGUGGCCAUAGAACAUGUCCUCAAUUCUGGACCCACAUAUCGCUUCAAGUCUGAAUGACCCUGGAACCCAGAGCAAACAUAAGGCACACCCACAAAAGAAGGAAGAGAAGGCAGAAGGAGACUAAGAAUAGGAGAAAAGUAAAGAAAAGAGAAGGAGAGAAAAGAAAGAAGUGCAAAUGGAAAGAAAGUAGAGAAACUGCUUCACUGCCAUCAGUGGCAUGAGAAUAAUGAUUUGUUUAUCCUGCUCUAAAGAAUUCCUGUGCCAGAGGCCUUGAGAUAUUAUAGUCUCUUCUCAUCCAUAAGAAAAAAAACAUUUUCAUACAGUUUGCAGUUUGCAUAGCACUGGCCCUUAAUACACACACACACACACACACAUACACACACACACACACAGAGUACUUAAAUGGUCUCCCAGAAACAAACAGAGUGAAUGUCAAGUCCUUGAUGAACUGGUCUGUGAUAAGCCAAACAUGGAAACGCAGAGGGAAUGUACUUCUAGGAAGUCCAAUCAUUGGUACAUUGUGUUGCCUUCAAGGGCGUGGUUCCAACACAACCUGAGUGCAGGAUGUUUGAUACCCAUUCUUUUUGAGUGGGUUCUUUAGCAACAACUUCUCCUAAAUGGUAAGCCCUACUUCUCAACACUGUCAUCCAGGGUGGAGAGAUGCUACAGCUGACAGCAGUGACUGGCAGGAGCCUGGAAAAGUACAAUAAUAUUCUAAGUUGUCUUUAGUCUUAUUUUUAUUUAGGCUAAUUUGCAUGAGUGGUUUAUGCCAAAUGAGGAUAUUUUUCCUUCUCCUUGGAAUAGCUUUAUGUGAAAAUAUCACUCUUUUCAAAGUGCCCAAAUAUUACUGUGCUGAAUAAUGAGGCAGAUGGAAAAUAGGAAGGGUGGAGCAAGUUCAAAAUGCUUUAUGGUUGGCAGAAUAGAUGAGCUUUUCAGAUUUCCAGCCUCCCUCUACUUUAUUCAUCUGACAGCACUGUCUGCUCCACCCUGCAAGGAUGCAAGGACCAGAGAGGUUCCUGG